rnacentral:rRNA from 1 species
GAUGAACGCUGGCGGCGUGCCUAAUACAUGCAAGUCGAGCGAACAGACGAGGAGCUUGCUCCUCUGACGUUAGCGGCGGACGGGUGAGUAACACGUGGAUAACCUACCUAUAAGACUGGGAUAACUUCGGGAAACCGGAGCUAAUACCGGAUAAUAUCUUGAACCGCAUGGUUCAAUAGUGAAAGACGGUUUUGCUGUCACUUAUAGAUGGAUCCGCGCCGCAUUAGCUAGUUGGUAAGGUAACGGCUUACCAAGGCAACGAUGCGUAGCCGACCUGAGAGGGUGAUAGGCCACACUGGAGCUGAGACACGGACCAGACUCCUACGGGAGGCAGCAGUAGGGAAUCUUCCGCAGUGGGCGAAAGCCUGACGGAGCGACGCCGCGUGAGUGAUGAAGGUCUUCGGAGCGUAAAACUCUGUUAUUAGGGAAGAACAAAUGUGUAAGUAACUAUGCACGUCUUGACGGUACCUAGUCAGAAAGCCACGGCUAACUACGUG